GAUGAACGCUGGCGGCGUGCUUAACACAUGCAAGUCGAACGAUGAAGCCCAGCUUGCUGGGUGGAUUAGUGGCGAACGGGUGAGUAACACGUGAGUAACCUGCCCUUAACUCUGGGAUAAGCCUGUGAAACUGGGUCUAAUACCUGAUAGGAGCGUCCACCGCAUGGUGGGUGUUGUAAAGAUUUAUCGGUUUUGGAUGGACUCGCGGCCUAUCAGCUUGUUGGUGAGGUAAUGGCUCACCAAGGCGACGACGGGUAGCCGGCCUGAGAGGGUGACCGGCCACAAUGGGACUGAGACACGGCCCAGAAUCCUACGGGAGGCAGCAGUGGGGAAUAUUGCACAAUGGGCGCAAGCCUGAUGCAGCGACGCCGCGUGAGGGAUGACGGCCUUCGGGUUGUAAACCUCUUUCAGUAGGGAAGAAGCGAAAGUGACGGUACCUGCAGAAGAAGCACCGGCUAACUACGUG
rnacentral:rRNA from 1 species